rnacentral:lncRNA from 1 species
AUGUGUCAUGUACAGGUGUCCCAGCUCUCAAAGGUGGGAGGGAGGAAUAACAAAGACUGCGUCCAUAAAGUAAUGGACAGGCUUUUCACCAACAGCCUAAUGGCUGCUUUCAAUAUGAAGGGGCGGGGUCGCAGUGAGAAAAAAGCCUUCCAGGAUACCGUUCUUUACUCUGUGGUAAAAGCCGCAGUAAUGAAGUGGAGUAAAACAGCCACAGAAGUGGAAAUCAGGGCUGCCAUGGCUGAGACACUUAAACAUGCUCCAGGGAGAGCUGGAGGUGGAGGUCGCAAAGUGUGAACAUUUAGUGUACAUUUUCUUUCUUAGAGUUGUGUUUUGUUGACUCUUGGAAAGUGAACUGUGUUGGUUACUGGACCGACCUAUGUUUAUUGCACUAUACUCUAAUGUGAAAUCUGUGUUGGUUACUUGACUGUUGCACUAUUUAAAAUGUGCUGUUUUAAUAAAGUUAUUAUAAGCUAACCCUUUAAAGCUUUGUUUCAUUCAUAUGUUAAUAUAAAAUGUUAUUUGGCAUGUUAAUGUGGACUUGAGAAUUGACAAUAGGCAUUUAGUAAACGUUAAAGAUCGACCUGUUUUCAACGUUGAAAAGUUGGACAAAUUUGACGUCUUUUCAAUUUUCAUUUUCAACCUUCAGUGGACCGUAAUUAGACGUUGAAGAUCGACCUGUUUUCAACGUUGAAAAGUUGGACUAAAUUUGACGU